CCUUCCUUGGUUACAAACUGGUCACCAAGGAAGGCCUAGCCCAAACUACCACAACAUCCAAACUGGAUUUUUGUGUAAGAGUUCCUCGAGAGAACAUCAGGUAACAGAUACGAAUAGAAAUGGUAAUAGCCAACAGCCAUAGUUUCUGGAGCAUGUUCCUAAGAAGAUGUAUUUUAAAUACUCCCUGAGAAAAGGUGACACUGAUUUUUAGCUGUAAUGACCCAAAACCUCCUGCAAGAUCAUCAGCACCCAAGUGGACCUACAUCAGAGGUUUCAACAUAUCCCACAGCGGUCCAACGGCUCCAAGCAGAAUUGAUAUGCAGAUAUGUGUCAGCAGCAGCAGCAGAGCAUCUGUGUUUCAACCUCCCACUUGUAUUGAGCUGUUUCUCUCACCCUGUGCUCACUCCCCUAGGAGUGCAGGGGCAGGAUGCUCCUCAGUGCCCAGCAAAGAUGCAGCAUAUGUAUGUGAUAUCUUAGUUGCAGUAUUCUUCAUCACUAAGAAGUUUUUUUGGUGCCAAAAGUUUGAGAAGAUUGUGGGACUGACUGAAAUCAGGACUGAAGAAAUGUUUGAUCAGAAAAAGUGGUGAAGAUUUCAGAGCUUACAAAGCAAAUGCAGUGAUUUUCUUGGCCCUGCUCUCUAAACCUUUUUUCCCCCAGGAAAACCUUUGCAGCCUCAACCAACUCCAUAAGCAGGAGAUGGCUGCGCAUAUAAAAAAAUCCUAACAUGUGAGAACUUGGCAGAAUGUGGUCUCCACUGGGAUGCUGAAAACUGUACAGCUUUGCAAAGCAGAGCUGCACCAAAUUGGAGAAGAGCACUUGAGGCAUUUUUAUUUGUGUACAGCUAGCAAAAACUUUUAUUUUUAUUUAGUUUUAUAUCUAGGCCAAGCACAAGAGAAGCAAGCGUAUCUUAGUGCUGUAUUAGUGUGAUCAUUGUGCUAGAAAUUACCAUCUUCUGUGAUUCUGUAAUUUUUCUUUUACAAUACUACUUCUGUAAGUUGGCUGCCAAAAAAAGGUAAAAUUUUGCCAAAUCUUUUGCUCAAAAUUGUAUAAAAUCUAUGUUGCACAUUCAUACCAGCUUAGAUUAACACCACUGUGUACAGUGGGGACUCAAUGGUUUUUGUAUGUAAUGCCAUAUAUAUUAAACUUUUUUGAUAAAUCAG